UACGUAGGGGCCAAGCGUUGUCCGGAUUUAUUGGGCGUAAAGAGCUCGUAGGCGGUUUGGAUAGUCGGGUGUGAAAACUCCGAGCUCAACCUGGAGACGCCACUUGAUACUGCUGUGACUGGAGUCCGGUAGGGGAGCGUGGAAUUCCUGGUGUAGCGGUGAAAUGCGCAGAUAUCAGGAGGAACACCGGUGGCGAAGGCGGAUCUCUGGGCCAUUACUGACGCUGAGGAGCGAAAGCGUGGGGAGCGAACAGG
rnacentral:rRNA from 1 species